UACGGGGGGGGCAAGCGUUGUUCGGAAUUACUGGGCGUAAAGGGCUCGUAGGCGGCCAACUAAGUCGGAUGUGAAAUCCCCAGGCUUAACCUGGGAACUGCAUCCGAUACUGGAUGGCUUGAAUCCGGGAGAGGGAUGCAGAAUUCCAGGUGUAGCGGUGAAAUGCGUAGAUAUGCGGAGGAACACCGAUGGCGAAGGCAAUCCCCUGGGCCUGCACUGACGCUGAUGCGCGAAAGCUAGGGGAGCGAACGGG
rnacentral:rRNA from 1 species